rnacentral:lncRNA from 1 species
CUCAUAGACACAAAAACAGAGGUUCAGAAAUCUCUUCACUUGUUGAUAUUUCUAGUGAUAAAAAUUUACAUCAUACAGGGGCAAGAUGGCAUGGUAGAGGGGACAGCAGAGGGUGAUGAAACUGCCUGUGGUGGUGCUCCAAUCAAUCCAUGCUCUGGUUUGUGCUCUGUGAAGUCACAGUGGCCUCACUACCAAGACCUGAGGCCAGCACGUGCCCUGUUGAGUUCCCCUCUAUACCUCUCUUCCCUUUUCAGUGUCUCUGUCUUUUUAACUCUUUCUCUCCUCUAGAAUUCUCCAUUUCUUCCAAUGUCUCCUCCUUCCUGGUUUACUGGCUUUCCUCCAGCUGUGGUAGCCCCAACCCUCCUCUGGUGUCCAUGGCUCUCCCAGCCUCCUGUUCAUACAUUUCUACUUCUAAGUUGUGCCCAGAAGUUUUUGGCUCACAAUGAGCUUGAACACACGACAGGUGGGAACUUCACCACUUUCAAAUUGUUGAUAAUGUUUAUUAGUGAUUUUUAUCUGAUACCUUUUUUCUACCUUGUUAAAUCAUUUUUCUUUCUUGAGGCCUGAGACCCCAUUAAAGCUUAUCUAUCCAGUCCUGC